CAAUAGCGUAUACUAAUGUUGCUGCAGUUAAAAGCUCGUAGUCGGAUUUCAGUUUACUUAAAUUAAAUCUUUCAGAUUUUUAUGCAAGUAAUCUAAUGACAGGAACAUACAUAAUAUUAAUUUAUUAUGAAUUGAGACUGUCUCAUUUACUUUGAGAAAAUUAGAGUGUUCAAAGCAGGUAUAUGCCUGAAUAUUACUCUUGGAAUAAUAAGAUAGGACUUCAGUUCUAGUUUGUUGGUGAUCUGGGACCGGAGUAAUGAUUAAUAGGGACGGUUGGGGUCAUUCAUACUGCAAAGCGAGAGGUGAAAUUCUUGGACCUUUGUAUGAUGAACAACUGCGAAAGCAUUUGACUAGGACGUUCCCGUUGAUCAAGAACGAAAGUUGGGGGAUCAAAGAUGAUCAGAUACCAU
rnacentral:rRNA from 1 species